UUCGUCCGCCGCGCCCCGCCCCCGUCCCGCCGCCCCCCCCCGCCUACGGGAGGCAGCAGGGAAUAUUGUGCAAUGAACGAAAGUUUGACACAGCGACACCGCGUGUGGGAUGACGGAUCUAGGUUUGUAAACCACUUUCAGGAGGGAAGAAAAUGACGGUACCUCCACAAGAAGCCCCGGCCAACUACGUGCCAGCAGCCGCGGUAAUACGUAGGGGGCGAGCGUUGUCCGGAUUUAUUGGGCGUAAAGAGCUCGUAGGCGGUUCAACAAGUCGGUCGUGAAAGUUCAGGGCUCAACCCUGAAAUGUCGAUCGAUACUGUUGUGACUAGGAUACGGCAGAGGUGAGUGGAAUUCCGAGUGUAGCGGUGAAAUGCGUAGAUAUUCGGAGGAACACCAAUUGCGAAGGCAGCUCACUGGGCCGCUAUCGACGCUGAGGAGCGAAAGCUAGGGGAGCAAACAGGAUUAGAUACCCUGGUAGUCCUAGCUGUAAACGAUGGAUACUAGAUGUAGGAAUUGGUUUAACGAUUUCUGUAUCGUAGCUAACGCGUUAAGUUC
rnacentral:rRNA from 1 species